rfam:Oryza meridionalis cultivar OR44 (W2112) chromosome 3, whole genome shotgun sequence.
UUUAAGUGUAAUUGUGGGUUUUUUUACUCAACAUUUUACCGUCCGUCUUAUUUGAAAUAUUUUUAUGAUUAGUAUUUUUAUUGUUGUUAGAUGAUAACACAUGAAUAAUACUUUAUGCGUGACUUAUUUAAUUUAACUUUUCAAAUAAGAUGAACAGUCAAACAUUGAACAUAGAAACCCACAACUACACUUAAA